rnacentral:rRNA from 1 species
GCAGUCGAACGCACAGCGAAAGGUGCUUGCACCUUUCAAGUGAGUGGCGAACGGGUGAGUAACACGUGGACAACCUGCCUCAAGGCUGGGGAUAACAUUUGGAAACAGAUGCUAAUACCGAAUAAAACUUAGUGUCGCAUGACACAAAGUUAAAAGGCGCUUCGGCGUCACCUAGAGAUGGAUCCGCGGUGCAUUAGUUAGUUGGUGGGGUAAAGGCCUACCAAGACAAUGAUGCAUAGCCGAGUUGAGAGACUGAUCGGCCACAUUGGGACUGAGACACGGCCCAAACUCCUACGGGAGGCUGCAGUAGGGAAUCUUCCACAAUGGGCGAAAGCCUGAUGGAGCAACGCCGCGUGUGUGAUGAAGGCUUUCGGGUCGUAAAGCACUGUUGUAUGGGAAGAACAGCUAGAAUAGGAAAUGAUUUUAGUUUGACGGUACCAUACCAGAAAGGGACGGCUAAAUACGUGCCAGCAGCCGCGGUAAUACGUAUGUCCCGAGCGUUAUCCGGAUUUAUUGGGCGUAAAGCGAGCGCAGACGGUUUAUUAAGUCUGAUGUGAAAGCCCGGAGCUCAACUCCGGAAUGGCAUUGGAAACUGGUUAACUUGAGUGCAGUAGAGGUAAGUGGAACUCCAUGUGUAGCGGUGGAAUGCGUAGAUAUAUGGAAGAACACCAGUGGCGAAGGCGGCUUACUGGACUGCAACUGACGUUGAGGCUCGAAAGUGUGGGUAGCAAACAGGAUUAGAUACCCUGGUAGUCCACACCGUAAACGAUGAACACU